rnacentral:misc_RNA from 1 species
GGGAGGUCAGUGACGCAUGCGCAGUCGCAACGCGCCGCUACAGUCAUAAACAACAUUUUUUCAAUCCAUAUUCAUUACGGGUUUACUCAAACGAAGAAAAAGAAUCGUCCGAGCGAAAGCGAGGAUCAUUUUUCGGAUUUUCGCGAGAAUCUAGAAUGAAAAUCGGGUCCGUUUCGGUGGAGUGAACGUCUGUAGUCGAGACGCUCAGGGGACUUGGGUUAUGCGGUGACGUCAUUCGGAUCGUUCUGGAAGAACGCUGUGGGACGAUAAUGGCGAACUUGUACGGGACGUACAACUGUACGUACUGUCAACUGGAUAUCACGGAUCUACGAGUUAAGUGCAUCGAGUGUCCAGAAUUCGACCUCUGCUUGCAGUGUUUUUCUGCUGGUGCAGAAAUUGGACAACAUAAAAAUGAUCAUUCCUAUCAAUUUAUGGAUUCUGGCACCAUUAGUAUAUUUAAUAGUAGAGGCAACUGGACGGCAAUAGAGCAACUUAGACUGUUGGAUGCGAUCGAACAAUUUGGUUAUGGAAACUGGGAAAAUAUCAGCGAACAUAUCGAAACGAGGUCACCCAAAGAGGCGAAAGAGGAGUAUAUUGCUAGAUAUCUUGAUGGGAACAUUGGGAAACACACAUGGCCUCCGACAGAAAGCUAUAAACCAAAUCUUACCGAUCAGACCAGUUCAGAUCAUGGGCCGCUGUCACCUGACUUAACUUCAAAAUUACCACCAUUGGAUAUUACUCCAGAGGAGGCCGGAGAACUUGGCUACACGCCACAACGGGAUGAUUUCGAUAGUGACUAUAAUCAUGAAGCGGAGUCGCUCGUCUCGUCUCUGUUCCUAAAUCCAGCUGAGGACGAUGACCUUGACAUCGCUCUAAAGCUAGCACAAGUUGAUAUGUAUACAAAUAAUCUUCGUGAAAGGGCAAGAAGAAAACGCGUUGUACGGGACUACCAACUUGUCUCAGCAUUUUUUGCUUCGAGUAGGAAAGACCGGGCAGUAAAAAAGAAACAAACGAAAGAAGAAAAAGAGUUCAGAGAAAGGAUGCGAGUAUUUGCUCAAUUUUAUACUGCGCAAGAAUAUGAACAGUUUCUCAGCAACCUUGAGAGGGAACGUGAGCUUCGCUUGAGACUGUCAGAAUUGCAGCGGUAUCGGGAAAAUGGAAUCACGAGGCACGAGGAGUGUGCUCACUUUGAGCAAGUAAUAAUGCAAACUCAAAAUCCAAACGACAUAGCCGAUCACUGGACGGAAAAGAAAUCUGGCAGCAGUGGGCCGUCCACGCCAAUACAUCGCCUAGCCCUAAAAAGAAGAGACGAAGAAAAAAGCUAUUGUUUCACCGACCGAAAGUACACUACAAGAGCAGACUCGGGCAGCAGCAGCAGCAGCAGCAUCUUAGCCAAUCAAGCCGGUCUCAGUCGGACGACGACUCAAGCCAAUCAGUCGGUGGAGCUGGAUAGCAAUCCCAAUUUGAUAGACCACCACUCUGCGAGUUGCAGCUCCACCGCGGAACGGAGCAACGAAGCACCCUCGUCCGCGAGGACUUCCUCGACGGGGCUCGGGGACCAGGAGGAAAGGGACAUAGAGAUGGAGGCCGCGGCGCAUCUUCUCACCAAGCAGGAAAAGAUAUUGUGCUUUCAGCUCGACUUAAAGCCCACUCAGUAUUUGACGCAAAAGACGCUACUACUGCAGGAAUACCUAAAUGGAAACAGAAGGUCGGGAAUGGUACCGCAGUCCGAGCCAGAGAGUAAGAUCCUCCGUUACCUGGUGUCCAACGGCUGGAUCGUAGCCAAUUAAGAUCAAUAGAUAUGGAUCGCAACCGUUGGCCGUUGUUCAUCUCUAAGUCAUCUCCUAGCUGGUGCAAUCCUAGUUUCUAGGUGUAAAUAGGCAGGUCUCCGUGCACCGGUCGCUUCGUUUUUCAUCCGAAAAUUCGUAUCGUUUGUCUGCGAAGAUGUGAUUCUGCCUGCAAGAGGGGAAGCAAUGCUAAUUUUUCAUGGAAAGGUGGAAACGGAAGUUCGUUCACGUUGGAAGUGCGUAAAGCAACUCGCAGAAGGAUACGGUUUCCGAUGGUCGGGGAGAUAUCCGUAAUUAUUAAAAAGGUAUUUACGUAGGUGGGGCACGUCUCAUGUACGUAAAGAUAUGUCUUAAUUUCAUUUUGAAAUUGCAUUCGAGAACUGUCAAAUCCAUGUGUUCCAUGGGAAGGACGCUACUGCCGCGGUUAAUUCGUAAACUACAGAGGAGCAACCUAAUCUUUGAUGACGCGUGAUCCAUGUUCGUGCCGAUAUAACGACGUCCCUUUACGACCACGUGUGUCUCCCGUUGGCGUCCGAUGAUUGCCAAAGUCGUUACUUCGGAUUUUGUCGCGUGAAGCAACGAUUCGAUUUUUAGGUAUUCUUAAGACUGUGGCGAGAGCAUCGUUAACGAGGCUUAAGAAGUCAGGAUAAAAAAGUAAACAAAGGAAUCGUUAUUAUUUACUUUUGGUAGAACGAAAAUGUUUUUUCAUAUUUAUUUUUUCGACCUUACAUUUAGCAGAAUCCGCCUCUGAAGCGUGGUCACGAAUUUAUGAAUAUUAAGGAGCCCUCGUUGACGUAAGUCAUGAAGAUAUGCAUAUCCGAAUGGCAAUAGGAGAUCGGAAGUCAAGCCGCACUCCAAAAAACGAUUAUUUUUCAUUACUCGUGCCCAACGGCUGGAUCAAUGCGAAUUCGACAACCUAUUUAGCAUAGUUGUUGACCGUAUGCAUGUUACAAGUACUAGUAAGCUAGUAUGCGUUGGUACGUGCAGAUUCACUGAAUUUCAAGUGACCGAAAUUCCGAAUACCAGAUGGUAAGUCUCGGUUGUCUAAAAAUUGUCAGCACGUAGAAAAUUUUGCCCAACUCUACCGGGAUGUACCAAAUCUCAACGACUCCUGGAUUUUCGAAAAAUAUUUAAGUAUUUGUGCUCGAAAUGAUCAUUUCCGACACGAUUUGCGAACCGUGUAUGUUAUCAUACGAGUGUCUAGUUAGGUACGAUGUGUCUAUCGCGUACAUGGUACAAUUCGUGAAAUUAUCUCGAAGUUGCAUUCGCGAAUUGCUCUUCGAGCUAGGCGCAAAUGCCGAUUGUCUCGUUUAAUGGACAUUCACCCAGUACAUCGCUGCAAUGAGGUUACAAGCGGACGAAAGGCAAAGAUUUUUGAGUGGCUUCUGCUUUCACGAGUGUACUCUGGCUAACUUUCAUAGUUGUAAUGUAUUGCUCAAUGUAAUCUUCCAAAUAGUUAUUUUUCCAUGUAGGGUUUAUGUGUUAUUGGAGUUCUCUCCUUUGGAAGUUGAAUGUGUUAAUGUAUCCAGCGGCGAGAGAAGCUCUCAAGAGAAACGUGACAAAUUGUCAGUUAUGAAUGUCAUUAGGAUUCUUAAGAAGUGGUGAGCGAUGUUUUUGAAAUUUCGAGUAAGACUUAAGACGUAGCAACUUAAUGGUCAACACAAUUGAACACUUUACGUUGAAUUAAAAAGUUAUCGUCCCGCUUCCAUCACUUUACAGAUUGUGAUGACAGAAAUAUCGUUGCACCGUGGUCGAGGUGAUUUUCUCUCGUAUCGCUGAAAGCAGUAGCUGAUUUAUAUGGGACAUGGCCCAUUUAUUGUAAAGUUAUAUCUAACAAGGAGACGAAGCGUAAUUACGUAACGAAACGCAGUAACUUAGUCUUUGGCUUAAUCCAAACCCUGUAAGGCUCGAUUCCUUAUGGCUGAAGAAUGGUGCGAUUGUAUAAUGCAAACAUACAAAAGACACGACACUUGGUUUUAACUCGUGUUACGUGUCAGUAGACGAUUCAACCGUUGCUUGUCCGGAGCACUUGUACAUACGAGAAAGGCAGUACCUUUUUAGUAAUAGUUUUGAGGAACAUGUUAAAACACGUUAUAUUAGAUCUUUCGAGUGAAAGAUGCGUAAUAUCGUGUUCAGAAAUCGCGUGCGAUCCGUUGAAGCGGAAUGCUCUUCACCGUCUGACAAAUUCCUUAAUUUCUUCCCGAUUGUGCGUCAGUUUAGAUUAUCGCGAGAUCAGUUGAUCGAGGGUAACGUCCUUAUUCACAUUUUUUUCUUUUUUCCUUUUUAAAGCGUUUUGUUUUAUCUUCCAACCGAUGACUCUUGACGAUCGAUUUAUUUCCCUUGCGUGUCCAUUUUAUGAUCGAACUCAUGGUCCAAAUUGAAGAGAUGUUCGACAGUGCAAUGGCACGUUCCUCGUUCGACGCUUCACUUUUCGUGAAAGGCAUAUUCUUAGAGAGUAAAAAAUUGCUGAAAGUUCUGAUGCGUUCGUUGAGAACGCAAUUCCGUCAGAACUGGUCGCAUCUCUAUUUUUCCACCAUACUUAUUGUGGCCUCUGUGAGAGAAAGAGCCACGCUUGUUAACUGUGAAACUAUUAGCCAUUAACUCUAUUCUCUCCCAAAACAUCCACGCUUAUUAAGUGUUUAAGUGAAACGUAAGUUUAAGCUAGGUAGGAAAAACAAAGUAAGACCUAUGAUUACUUAGGGAAAAAAAAAUUACGAGCAAGGUAUACAGAUAACGCGUAAACAGGAUGGAAUUGACGAAGGAGUUUUCGGCUUUGAGAGUCGGAGCUGCAUACAUUUUUAGCUGUACGCUUGUACGUACAUAUCUGUCCGUUGCGAAUUAUUGUUUACGCGGAAUUGCAGUUCAACGGCGAAGACGGAUUCUCGCUCGUGUUUUACUCCCGGAGAGAUACUUACGGCAAUCGGACGAUCGGCGAGUUUAGUUUUUUUCUUUUAUAGUAACCCGGUUUACUCUCUCUUUUUUUUUUUUUAUUAUACAAUGUAUGUUUCGCAGUGGUUGUAGGUAAUAGCAGUUUGUCCAGGAACGAGUACUCUUGGGUGCUGCCUCUUGUUUUCUAUAAGACUUUUACAUUUUGUGAUAUCUGAACUGCGAUUAUUGUCACGCGCUUCGUGCAGAGGGAACUCUUUUGCGCGUCUUAGGGUAGUUGCAUCGAGGAAUGCCGUUGUUUGAUUACAUAAGCAGGAAAGAUGACUUAAAAAUUUGUUCCGUUCGUAGAAGUCCGUCGGGUUAACUCGUUGCUAGAAUUGAGUCGAUUAGAUGGUUCGAAAACUAUAACGAGUUUGUAGUAAGAUCCCGCAGCGAUUAAGCGUAUAAGAUGUAGCAUGCGUUUUGUCCUCGACACCUCUGCCAACGAUGACAUUGUAUUUGACAUUUGUUCGGCAUUUUCCACCCGAAGAGAAUUGUACCGAAACGAUCGCCAAUCGACGAGUCCACUAGAGUACGCCGCAUCUUCGACGAUAACGAUGACUAUUAACGAGCCGUGGUACAAGUUAUUAUGCCGUCUAGUCUUAUCCGCGCGUUCUCGAUUCUCAUCGGUUUCCGUUUAUAGAAUUUGCCCGAUAUAAUUACAAGGUGCUGCCGUACAAUUUUCUUCGUGUGACCGUACACAAGAAACGGAGAUUACCCGUAAAUCACUGUUAUCUUCCGCCAUGGCUUCUGAAAGGUGAUCGUCGCUAUUUUGCGUGCAUGAAAAAGAACGAACGUACGCUUUGAAAAGCUCAUCUAAAUGAAAAUGAAAUUCAGCGAGAUACCCUGCGACGCGAUACCUGAUUAUGCGUAGAUAUCCGGUGCACCUUGUUAUUCAUGACAAAGAGGCGUGUCCGGUUUCCGAAGAAACGAGCAGAAACGAGGGUCUUAUCCGUAGUCGGGAUCGAUGCGCAGUUCCCUCGAUGUAGGUUUACGUUCCAAUGGUUCACCUCUUUGCGUGGCUUCGAUUAAAACGUUUCCAAUCAUUAAUAACGUCAUCGAGUGCCUAGGUUAUUGUCGGUUAUCCAGAAA